ACUGCAACAUCAGUGGCAAUGCUGAAUAAGAAACAUGAAAAUUAACGGAACAAAAAAAUAUAUUGCUAGGGUGUGUGCAAUUAUUAAUCAAGUUAGCUACGCCUACUAUCCAUCCAGGCUAAAACCAGCUUCCAGAGUGCGACAAUGACCCAACACACCUCCAGGCUGUGUAAAGACUGUUUGACCAAGAGGGAGAUGGAGUGCUGCAUCACAUGGGACGUUAGCAAAGACCUUGCCUCACCUCUUGCCUGCUCACCAACGGUCAUUGAUGGGGAGACCUGAAUUGGAUGCAUUUAUGGAGCCAGCAAGAUGGAGUCCGGAGUGACAGGCUUGAUACUAAAGUCUCUAAAUGGAGAGACCUGGCACUCUGCAUUUCAUUUUUACUAGACAACGUUUACUUGUAUUGUCUUUUUUUAUUAUUGAAUUGUAUAGGUCAAUAUGGGGAGGGAGAAACCCUGUGUAUUCACGAGGAUCAGGGAACUUCUGUCUCAUACAGUGAGCACCAUAAUUCAUUGGACAGUGACCAUUUUUUGUUAUUUUGGUUCUGUACUCUAGCACUUUGAGUUUGAAAGGAUACAAUGACAAUGAGGGUGAAGUCCAAACUGUCAGCUGUAAUUUGAGGGUAUUUUCAUACAUAUCAGAUGAAACUUUUAGAAAUGACAGCACCUUUUGUACAUGGUCCCCCCAUUUUAAGGUACGACAAGUAUUUGUUGAAUUUGCUUCACAGAUGUGUGUCGUUAGGCAGGUAUAUUAAUUUGUGUCGUUAGUGAAUGCAGGAGAGCUGUUGAUGAAUAGUAUUGAUUCUAGACUUUGCUAUUGCCUUGGGAGGUUGGGACACCACACAGGAAGGUAUGACCACUCUGACAUGUUUGCCAAGCUACAUGUAGCCUCAUUACCACCAGACAAAAUGCAGAUAAUCAUAGUAUCGGCUGAGAAUGACAAUAAAAAGUGUUAUAUUAGCAGAA